ACUCAGCUGACGAGUCCCAAAUAGGACGAAACGCGUGCCUUGUGU
rnacentral:hammerhead_ribozyme from 1 species